GUAAAAAGCUCGUAGUUGGAUGUCUGCCGGAAGCAAUCAGUCCGCCCUAUUUGUAGGGUGUGCACUUGAUGAAUUCUGGCAUUUUUGUCCCAAUGAUGUAACGGGGCGGUGGUACUCGGUGAAAGCCGAGUAUCCUGCUUUCCGAUUAUUGGGAUACUGUUACUUUGAGAAAAUUAGAGUGUUUGAAGCAGGCUAAUUGCCUUGAAUACUGCAGCAUGGAAUAACAAUAUAGGAUUUCGGUUCUAUUUUGUUGGUUUCUAGGACUGAAAUAAUGAUUAAUAGGGACAGUUGGGGGCAUUCGUAUUUAACUGUCAGAGGUGAAAUUCUU
rnacentral:rRNA from 1 species